rnacentral:sRNA from 1 species
GCUGGGCGGCCUUGCCGAUGCACUUUGCUCAGCAAGAAUUCCCGAAGUUUGGGGACGACAUCCCUGGAAUGGAAGGCCUGGGAACAGACAUCACGGUCAUCUGCCCUUGGGAGGCCUUCAACCACCUGGAGCUGCACGAGCUGGCCCAAUAUGGCAUCAUCUAGCACCAGGCCCUGCUGAGGUCCAGACCCUCCCCCUCCUGCCCGCUGUGCUCUAAACCCUGCUCAGGAUUCCUGUUGAGGAGACGCCUCCCUAGCCCAGAUGGCACCUGGACACCAGGGUGGGACUGCAACCUCAGGUGUCCCCCUACAUAUUAAUACCAGUCACCAGGAGCCCACCACCUCCCUCUAGGAUGCCCCCUCAGGGGCUGGCCAGGCCCUGCUCAACAUCUGGAGACACAGGCCCACCCCUCAGUCUUGCCCACAGAGAGGCUUGGCCAGUCUCCACUCCCUGGGAGAACGGGAAGUGAACCCCAGCCCGGGAGCCUGCUGGACCCCG